ACACCCUCAAGCGCAGCUUGGUGUUGGGCGUCUGUCCCGCUCUCCGUAGCGCGGACUCGCCUCAAAGUCAUUGGCGGCGGUCGUGCCGGCUCCUCGCGCAGCACAUUUGCGCUUCUCGGAGGCCCGGCGGAUCAGCAUCCAGCAAGCUACUUUUUAUG
rnacentral:misc_RNA from 1 species